GCCCCGGUAGCUCAGACGGUUAGAGCAUUGGUUUGGAUGAGAGCUGAUCAUCACCUGCACCGAAGGUCGUGGGUUCGAUUCCUGCUCGGGUCU
rnacentral:tRNA from 1 species